AUGCAUGUAUUCCUCCCAGAGACCAUGCGGCUAAAUAGACCGCCAGGCAAGGGCUGCAACCAGCAGCACCCGGUACACACCGCUUACGACCCGCUACAGCUCCCCCCUCCAGCACCGCUACCACCCCGCUCCGUCGGGACCAACGCAUCCCUCACCACCCGGCUUUACCUUGGCAGGCGACGGCAGCCGCCGGCUCCCGGAGGCGCUGCGAGCAGGAGGCGAGGCGGGCUGGGCUCCGCGGCACCGCCUGGGGGGAAAUGGGGCCGGCCCGCCGGCUGUCGGGCUUCCCGGGGCGGCCACCUCAGCGGGAGCCGCCCCGGGGCUCACAGCGCCGCCCUCCGCCUUCAGCCGCCGGGGGCAGCCGUCCCGCAGAGCCCGGGUCCGGCUCCCCUCACGGGGACACGCGGGGACUCCCCGCUGGAGGCGGCCCCGAGGGCUGUGGUGAGCCGAGGUCCCCGCUGGAGGGUGGGGGGGACCCACAAAAUGGAGCCUGAAAGCCCAGGCGGGAGGUGUCGCGUUUCCCGCUCCUCUCCUGCCCCUCGUCACCUCACGGCUAGGCCGGGCGGUUCUCAGACAGAAAGCUAUGACAGAUCAGCAUCGUUCUCCCUAAGAGGAACAGUGAAGAUGAGAAGAGCACAAGGAAAAGAAAAGCAAGGAGAAAACAGUGCAGAGGCUAGGUUGCAUCGUUUUGCACAAGCAUUUGCUUUUCUGUAACUGCGUGCCAACAGGAGGCUCUGUGGUUUUCGCCCUCCGUGGCCUGUAGUUGGUGCUGGACUGCAACCAAAUGUCUGUGAGCCAUGCAAGAGUCAAGCUGAGACUUUCCUUCCACUGUUCAGAGGAAUGAUAUCAGAGGAAUGAUACCUUUGGCUGCAUGCAUCACUUUUACUCAAGACUAGCAUCUCACAUGAUUCACAAGAGCAUAAGACAGUGAGUGAUCCACUGAGAUAGAUAGAAGUAUUAAGCUAACAGUGUUUUCCAGAUGGUGCUGACAGUACAGUUUCCCAAAAAAUACAAGUUGAAUAUGAGGUCUAUUUGAAUUUAAUAAAAUCAAUGAUAUAUGAAAGAGGAACUUUAGA
rnacentral:lncRNA from 1 species